ensembl:snRNA U6 U6 spliceosomal RNA
GUGCUUGCUUCUGCAGCACACAUACUAAAAAUCAGAACUAUAUAGAAAAGAUUUGCAUGGCCACUGCACAAGGAUGACAUGCAAAUUCAUCAAGUGUUUCUUUUUCUU